UACGGAGGGAGCUAGCGUUAUUCGGAAUUACUGGGCGUAAAGCGUACGUAGGCGGCUUUGUAAGUUAGAGGUGAAAGCCCGGAGCUCAACUCCGGAACUGCCUUUAAGACUGCAUCGCUUGAAUCCAGGAGAGGUGAGUGGAAUUCCGAGUGUAGAGGUGAAAUUCGUAGAUAUUCGCAAGAACACCAGUGGCGAAGGCGGCUCACUGGCCCAUUACUGACGCUGAGGCACGAAAGCGUGGGGAGCAAACAGG
rnacentral:rRNA from 1 species